rnacentral:lncRNA from 1 species
AUGACAGUGAAAGAAGUAAUAUCUUCUUCAAAAGCAUGCACAUCAGCCAACAGGUUCUUUUCUAUAUCGAUCCAAAAUCUAAGGACAACAACAUUCCUUUUGUUAAAAACUAAGCCAUGCACUAAUCAAAAAUUGGGAAAAUCUCAUAGAUUAUAAGCAUAGUGGAUCAAACUUGCCUCAAUAUGGUUCUUGGAAUUCACAUUUACAAGUAUGCCUUGGUUCUCCACAAACUGAACACAAAUAUCACCAAAUAAUAUUACAUGAAAAUUACCACACACAAACAAAAACAGCUGGAAAUUGA